rnacentral:rRNA from 1 species
AUUGAACGCUAGCGGCAGGCUUAACACAUGCAAGUCGAACGAGUGGCGGACGGGUGAGUAAUGUCUGGGAAACUGCCCGAUGGAGGGGGAUAACUACUGGAAACGGUAGCUAAUACCGCAUACCAUCAGAUGUGCCCAGAUGGGAUUAGCUAGUAGGUGGGGUAAUGGCUCACCUAGGCGACGAUCCCUAGCUGGUCUGAGAGGAUGACCAGCCACACUGGAACUGAGACACGGUCCAGACUCCUACGGGAGGCAGCAGUGGGGAAUAUUGCACAAUGGGGGAAAGCCUGAUGCAGCCAUGCCGCGUGUAUGAAGAAGGCCUUCGGGUUGUAAAGCACUUUCAGCGAGGAGGCGUUACUCGCAGAAGAAGCACCGGCUAACUCCGUGCCAGCAGCCGCGGUAAUAC